CCUUCUUGUCAUUACAGCUACAGCCAUAUGCACGCCCACCAUCUGGUUCUGAGGGCAACAUAUGUAUCUGACAACAAAUGCAGGAUCUGACUGUACGACUCGCUGACAAAAGCUCUACUGCUCUGGAGAUGUGAAUCAGAGCAAUAAGGAGAUGCCUGCUCAGAGGCUGGAGAACAUCUGCUCAGUGACAGCGGCUGCACAUCUUGGGCUGCUCUUACCUGCAGAGCUAAGAGAAGGUCGAGCAAGUUUGAAACAUUGCCUCUUGCUGGAGCACUACCAGGGGAAAACAUAAACACAAUGAUGAGACCAUGAAGAUAGCCUUCAUCUUCAAGAGGCUACCCGGGAAGCUGAGCAAAGCUGAAAGGAAUACAUGCAGCCAAGUGGAAAAGGGUUGUGUAUUUCUCUUUGCCAUUUCAGAAUGCUAGAUUAUGGCUCCCUGGCAAAUAUUGUGUUCAUCACGAGGGAAAGAACAUGCUCAGACCUUGAUGUGACAUUGGAGAAAUAAGGAGAGGGGGGAUUUAGUCUAUUAAAAAUAAAGGGUGGGAAGCUACAAUGAAAGAAAUACUUUGCUGACCAAGAUGAGUCGUCUUGACUAGGUUUCUAUUGAAUAUUUUCUUCUUUUUUCUAUUCAGCUCAAAAUCACCAUAUUUUGUGUAUCUGAAGAAAUAACACCCCGUACCCAAAACAACCCCUAAACCUGCUGAACAUUUCCAAUUAAAUGCUUCUCAGGGGUCCCUCCAUUUUUGUUUUGUGUGUGGGGGGGCACAAUUUCCCUCAUCUUUCCUCACGCUUAUUUUCAGACUCAUUGGGAUACACUGCUGUUUAAUCCAUUUAGCUGUAUUGACCCUCAUCACGUUUGUCUGCAAGCUUCCAUGACAGCAUCCCCUCAGACAAAGAAUUGUGGUUUCACCUUCACUUUCCGGAAACAGUUGCAGACAUUUUUGUUCUGACAGGUUUUCCCAGCUGGAUAAAGGGGUCUUUACCACAAGUGCCCACUUGUUAGGGUUUUAGUCCUGCUCAAAGUGGAAUGGGGAGUGGUUAUUGGUUGAUUCUUUCCUCCAAGACCGUUUUAUCUUCUCCACCACCCAUUUUCUUGUAGAACAAUGAAACGCCCAUGCACUGUGGCUUAGCUGUAGCGAGAUGAUUCACCUACAUAUGAACUCAGGUCUGCUGCAAGAAAGCUUCUGGGGAAAGGUGAAGCUUUAUAAAUAUUUGAAAUCUUACUGUGAGCACGGGAAAAUGUGACACAUGUUUUAUAAUGCAAUAUCUGCUGCAGCACUAUUAUUUCAGAGCUUGUCGCCUUUUGUCGACACUCCUCUUGCAAUAUAUGCCAUUAUUUCAGAGCCAACAGUUAGCACUGUAGCGAUGGUUCGGCAGUGGACACUUGCCCUGGACAUAGCCUGGGCAGGUGCAUGAAAUGGGCGCCUUAAUAUAAUGCAAUAUUUUGAACGUUGUUUUGCAAGAGAAGCGCAGUGGUUCGUGCUUCCUUUUCCUAUCUACUGCACUUUAUCCUCUGCCCCAAACUAUGUUAUUUAUCUCCCUCUCCCUGUUUGCCUUUCUUCCUCCUCUUUCUGCGGUUCCUUAAAUUAUUUUUUUAAUAUAUUU